rnacentral:tRNA from 1 species
GUUUCCGUAGUGUAGUGGUCAUCACGUUUAUAUGCAAAAGGUCCCCAGUUCGAAACUGGGUGGAAACA